AGUGAACGCUGGCGGUAGGCCUAACACAUGCAAGUCGAACGGCAGCACAGUAAUAGCUUGCUCUUACGGGUGGCGAGUGGCGGACGGGUGAGGAAUACAUCCGAAUCUACUUUUUCGUGGGGGAUCACGUAGGGAAACUUACGCUAAUACCGCAUACGACCUACGGGUGAAAGCAUGGGAUCUUCGGACCUUGCGCGAUUGAAUGAGCCGAUGUCGGAUUAGCUAGUUGGCGGGGUAAAGGCCCACCAAGGCGACGAUCCGUGGCUGGUCUGAGAGGCUGAUCGGCCACAUUGGAACUGAGACACGGUCCAGACUCCUACGGGAGGCAGCAGUGGGGAAUAUUGGACAAUGGGCGCAAGCCUGAUCCAGCCAUACCGCGUGGGUGAAGAAGGCCUUCGGGUUGUAAAGACCUUUUGUUGGGAAAGAAAAGCAGCAGGUUAAUACCCCGCUGUUCUGACGGUACCCAAAGAAUAAGCACCGGCUAACUUCGUG
rnacentral:rRNA from 1 species